rnacentral:rRNA from 1 species
UAAUACGAAGGGGGCUAGCGUUGUUCGGAAUUACUGGGCGUAAAGCGCAUGUAGGCGGCGAUUCAAGUCGGGGGUGAAAUCCUGAGGCUCAACCUCAGAACUGCCUUCGAUACUGCAUUGCUGGAGUAUGGAAGAGGUAGGUGGAACUGCGAGUGUAGAGGUGAAAUUCGUAGAUAUUCGCAAGAACACCAGUGGCGAAGGCGGCCUACUGGUCCAUCACUGACGCUGAGAUGCGAAAGCGUGGGGAGCAAACAGGAUUAGAUACCCUGGUAGUCCACGCCAUAAACGAUGAGAGCUAGCUGUUGGAGGGUUUACUCUUCAGUAGCGCAGAUAACUCGAUAAGCUCUCCGCCUGGGGAGUACGGUCGCAAGAUUA